UACGGGGGGGGCAAGCGUUGUCCGGAAUCAUUGGGCGUAAAGCGCGUGUAGGCGGUUCGGUAAGUCUGCUGUGAAGGUCCAGGGCUCAACCCUGGGAUGCCGGUGGAUACUGUCGAACUAGAGUACGGAAGAGGCGAGUGGAAUUCCCGGUGUAGCGGUGAAAUGCGCAGAUAUCGGGAGGACACCAAUUGCGAAGGCAGCUCGCUGGGACGUCACUGACGCUGAGACGCGAAAGCGUGGGAGCAACAGGAUAAGAUGACCCCGAGAGUACCCGA
rnacentral:rRNA from 1 species